GAUGAACGCUGGCGGCGUGCCUAAUACAUGCAAGUCGAGCGAACGGACGAGAAGCUUGCUUCUCUGAUGUUAGCGGCGGACGGGUGAGUAACACGUGGAUAACCUACCUAUAAGACUGGGAUAACUUCGGGAAACCGGAGCUAAUACCGGAUAAUAUUUUGAACCUCAUGGUUCAAAAGUUAAAGACGGUCUUGCUGUCACUUAUAGAUGGAUCCGCGCUGCAUUAGCUAGUUGGUAAGGUAACGGCUUACCAAGGCAACGAUGCAUAGCCGACCUGAGAGGGUGAUCGGCCACACUGGAACUGGGACACGGUCCCGACUCCUACGGGAGGCAGCAGUAGGGAAUCUUACGCAAUGGGCGAAAGCCUGAUGGAGCAACGCCGCGUGAGUGAUGAAGGUCUUCGGAUCGUAAAACUCUGUUAUUAGGGAAGAACAUAUGUGUAAGUAACUGUGCACAUCUUGACGGUACCUAAUCAGAAAGCCACGGCUAACUACGUG
rnacentral:rRNA from 1 species